GACGAACCGUGCAAACGUUGUUCGGAAUCACUGGGCUUAAAGGGCGCGUAGGCGGGCAAGCAAGUCCGGGGUGAAAUCUUUCGGCUCAACCGGAAAAGUGCCUUGGAUACUGGUGGUCUGGAGGGAGGUAGGGGCAUGUGGAACUUCCGGUGGAGCGGUGAAAUGCGUUGAUAUCGGAAGGAACGCCGGUGGCGAAAGCGACGUGCUGGACCUCUUCUGACGCUGGAGGCGCGAAAGCUAGGGGAGCGAACGGG
rnacentral:rRNA from 1 species